ACUAGAUCUACAUGUACAUGUAUCUGUAUUUGUAAAUUUAUCAUUUUCUAUUAUUUCAGAUACUCACUGACACUAAGUAUGUACAGAAAGAAAUCAACCAAUUGUCUGGUAAACUUGAUCGUGUAUUUCAAGUAACUGAUGAACAAGUUUUAAGCUACGAAUCAAAGAAAGAAAUUAUUUUACUCCCAACAUCCUAUCCUUAUAAUUAGGAUGCACGCAAGGACGAAGCUAGACGCUCCACCUAUAAGCUAUUAGCUAGCAUUAGAGAUAAUAGCAAACAAGUUGUUGAAGCUAUUCAUGAGGCAGGACAGGUUAAAAGAGAGCAGUGUGACCCUUGGUGUGACCUGGAGGAACAGAUUGAUUGGGAGACCAGCAAGAAAGUGACUAGUAAUUUAGAGAAGAUUAAUUCUGACUAUCAGCAAAUAGCUUGUAGCUCAACUGAAAUCAUCUUAAUAAUAAAUAAAAUAAUAACUAAACAACAAAACAAUAUACUGCUAUUGUUAGAAUUUAAUAUAUUAUUCUAAAUAGUAAAAUUUGUUGCUUAUUACCAAAAAGCUAGUCUUUCUUUAAUCGUAUCAUAAUAAGGUAAAGAAGAACAAGCUUGCUCGUGUCGUUCAUCUAUCCAGAUAUCUGUUCGUUUAUUUGUU